CUGGUCCGAAGGAAGAAAGGAGACCGGAGAGGGGAAAGGGGCCGUGCUCAUAUUGCCUCUUACUCCCCCGCAAAGAAAGACUGAGGAGAAAUUCAGCAGCUUUUAGAGGACAGGUGCAGCUCACAGGCACAGUAUUUUUGCCUUGCGCGGUGCUGUUCCCCCAUUUUUCCCCAAGUUAACAGCGGACUAAGGAACGCAAAGAGUGGGUUAGAAUUUGUCCACGGGCACAGGCGUCUCUUAUCCUAAAGAACAGUGUGGAAUACACGCUGCACCCCCGCCAGUUCCAUACCCUUCUAGCAUGGCCCCUGAGCUCGGCAGCUCUGACCUUCUGGAAGUUUCCAUCCUGGCCUUUAGCAAAGUGUCCAUCUCCAUAGGUGUUAGGAACUGGCAAGCCCACUUAGGGGCUUGGCUUGGGCGGAUGCCCCCCUGCGGGCCGAGCGUUGUGAACACUAGGAAAGGAGAGCAGGGCGCUGAAGGUGGUGCUCGGCUGCUAUGUGGUGACUUACAAAGGCUGGGUCACCACCCUGUCAGAGCUUAGGAGCGCGUCUCCUGCUGGGGCCAACUGCUUGAGUCCCAUGACCAGAGCCUGCAGAAGCAACCACAGAGAAGCAGGUGGGCUGGAGCCCAAGGGAUGGGGAGUCCUGCCAGGACUGGCAGCCGGUCUCCCUUCCUCCAUCCAGGGCUUGCGCUCAGUGCCUCUUGUGAGCUUCGGAGAGCUUUUCCCCGCUCUGUCUCCUCCAAGGGCACAGCCAGUGCUAACUCCAUGCCUGGAGGCUUUUAUCAAAUCAGCCUGAAGGUCUGUGUGUCCUGUACGCACAGAGGGGUUCUCACCUUCUUGUAUUCAGUAAGCACGUAAUAAGUUCCCAUUGUACCUCCUAAACCACUCCCGUGCCGGGCUCUCCACCCCUGCUGUGGGGCAUGAUGGCCUCUAGGAGCUUAGAGGGACAAGUUGGAACUACAAGAAACAAUUUUAAACAUUUCAAGGCAAAGGAAGUGCCACAGAAAUACAGAAAGAAAAGGCUGUUGUAGGUUAAGUUUAUUCAGGAAAGCUUUUAUGGAGGCGGUGAGCUUCAGGCUGAGCCCAGGUGGGGGAACUGACAGAAGACAGGGGCCAGCACAUGCAGGCUCGCGUGGACAAGACUAUCUUCAUUCUGUGGAUGAAGACCCUGAGACCUUGCAGCAGUUAAUGGCAGAGCUGGUCUGCAGCCCACCAUGGGACUCCAUGCUGCCUCUUUUGCAGAGGAUAGCAUGAGUAUUGGAAGAGAAGAUACGUGAAGUGCUCAGAUUAGUCUCUGGCACUCGGUGAAGGCUCAAUAAAUGUCAGUUAUUUUGACGACGCU
ensembl:lncRNA